GGGUGAGUAACACGUAUCCAACCUGCCGAUGACUCGGGGAUAGCCUUUCGAAAGAAAGAUUAAUACCCGAUGGCAUAGUUCUUCCGCAUGGUAGAACUAUUAAAGAAUUUCGGUCAUCGAUGGGGAUGCGUUCCAUUAGCUUGUUGGCGGGGUAACGGCCCACCAAGGCAUCGAUGGAUAGGGGUUCUGAGAGGAAGGUCCCCCACAUUGGAACUGAGACACGGUCCAAACUCCUACGGGAGGCAGCAGUGAGGAAUAUUGGUCAAUGGGCGCUAGCCUGAACCAGCCAAGUAGCGUGAAGGAUGACUGCCCUAUGGGUUGUAAACUUCUUUUAUAUGGGAAUAAAGUGCAGUAUGUAUACUGCUUUGCAUGUACCUUAUGAAUAAGGAUCGGCUAACUCCGUGCCAGCAGCCGCGGUAAUACGGAGGAUCCGAGCGUUAUCCGGAUUUAUUGGGUUUAAAGGGAGCGUAGGCGGGUUGUUAAGUCAGUUGUGAAAGUUUGCGGCUCAACCGUAAAAUUGCAGUUGAUACUGGCAUCCUUGAGUACAGUAGAGGUAGGCGGAAUUCGUGGUGUAGCGGUGAAAUGCUUAGAUAUCACGAAGAACUCCGAUUGCGAAGGCAGCCUGCUGGACUGUAACUGACGCUGAUGCUCGAAAGUGUGGGUAUCAAACAGGAUUAGAUACCCUGGUAGUCCACACAGUAAACGAU
rnacentral:rRNA from 1 species